rnacentral:lncRNA from 1 species
AACUUGUCCUGUGAGUGAGGUGAACUGGACCCUGACCUCCACCACUCUUACUUUCAGAGCUCUGAGCACGUCUGGAGCAGAUCCUAAUUUGCAAGGCUGGCAAAGGAACAGAGGUCUCUCCUGCCUACUGCCAGCCCCACCCACAGGAUCUCACUGGAGAGCUCCCUGCAGCUGCUCAGGGCAUUUACACCCUCUCAUCCCCGGCAGCAAGAGGAAAACCAUUAGGAAGCCAACAGUAUAAAAGGGGAAAGAUGAGUGGCUGGAGGAAAGGUGGGAACUGAUAGAGUCAAGCGCCUGUCUUCUCACAGGGUUGGUACACUUGGGGUGGAACCAGGAAGACAGGACCAGAGGUGAUCCUGGUUCACAUAUCCUUGGGACAUUGCAAUUUAGGGAGAAGUGCCUAUGAGCUGGU